UACGAAGGGGGCGAGCGUUGUUCGGAUUUACUGGGCGUAAAGGGCGCGCAGGCGGCGAUCUUUGUCAGGCGUGAAAGCCCCGGGCUUAACCUGGGAAUGGCGAUGGAGACUGCGAGGCUAGAGUUUGGCAGAGGGGGGUAGAAUUCCACGUGUAGCAGUGAAAUGCGUAGAGAUGUGGAGGAACACCGAUGGCGAAGGCAGCCCCCUGGGUCAAAACUGACGCUCAUGCACGAAAGCGUGGGGAGCAAACAGG
rnacentral:rRNA from 1 species